GUUAGAACAUGUAAAUGGGGAAUAAGACUCUUUUCUACUAUACAUUCAAAGAUUUUUGCUGGCAUAGCGUUUCAAAUGCUUGGUGAAGUAGACAAUGCAAGAUUUAUGUUCGUUGAAGCUUCUGUUAGUGACUUCAACGUAAGUAGUGCAAGAUACAGACUUUCGCAUUUUUAGGCUAAUUCAUUUUCAAUACUUUGUAAAUAAAAAUAAGAAAACUUUCAUAAGCCGAGACAACCCACCAUUUUUUCUUCAAAUGUCCUGUGACAGGUCAGUAAUAUAGCAGUUUUUAUAAAAUAGUCCGUUUUUCUGUCCCCG
rnacentral:lncRNA from 1 species